rnacentral:lncRNA from 1 species
UUUACUCAUUUCAAUAUUAGAGAAUGUAAACAAGAAACUAAAAGAACAUAUCCAUUUAUUCAAUCACCAUUCUCACAUUGACAAACUGCAAUAUAAUUUUCAAACUGUUAAACCUCAGAACUCAAAUACACCAGUAUCUAUGCCGAUUCUUCAAACUGCUGGUUGACCAACGUUAAUCCAUUUAUGCCUUCCCCCCGCAGACAUAUAGACAUAGAAUCACCAGGUAUGUUGAAUCCAGUCGAUCUGUUUAAACAUUUAAAAAGAGUUCAUUUCAUAUUAUGAGAGCAUUAUGAAUAGCAAAUAACAUGACAUGGACAACACAGUUUGUUCUAGUCUCGACAGACAAACUGGAAAAACACAGAGAGUUUUAUUUUGUAGAGAUGACACAUUGCAAUGUAAAAAAAAUUGCAGAUGAUGUUCACAGAGAUAUAGGACUUUACCAAGUCUAUCCAAAUUAUUUGAAGAACAAAAUUGGACAGAAUCACGUACAUAAAAUUUCAGUAUCCUUGAGAUCAGUUUCAAUUAAUUUCC